AGAGAGAGAGAGAGAGAGAGAGAGAGAGAGAGAGAAAAACCGUCCGUAAAGAAAUAUAUGUGCAUAGCUGAUUGGGAGGAAGAAAGAUUGGAAUACAUAAUCGUUUGUGAAUAAAGAAGGGAGAGAGAGAGGGAGAUGAUGGGGAGAUACAGGUGAGUGAAGUAUACAUUUGAGGCAGGUAGUUCAUCAAGGUGUGUGGACAGGUGUACGGACGGGUGAAACAAUGCACAGGUGAAUGGGUGGUGGUGUGCGUGCGUCCAGGUGUGCCUCGUGUGUGUGUGGCGGCGCGGCGCGGGGCAGGUAACAGAAGGUGACUUAAUGAACGGAGUCUCACCUGUAUGUAAUUAAAGAGCUGCUUUCACCUCCACUUUUUAUGUUCUCUUUUUACUCGCCAGUGAACACGUGGUUUUGUUGACGUUCUCUCUCCUCCUCCUCCUCCUCCUCCUCUUUCUCCUCCUCCUCCUCCUCCUCCUCCUCCUGCUCCUACCGCCGCUCUGAGUCACUUAACGAUGGAAGACGAGGCGACCUUAGCGUGGCGGCGCGUCGUGGUGGUGGCGGUGGUGGCGUAGCGGCGGCGGCGGCAGGCGUGGCCGUGUAUGGAGUAAGGAACCGUUCGUCGGCUGGGUCCGCACGCCCCAGAAGAGGAGGAGGAGGAGGAGGAGGAGGCAAGGUUGAGAGCGUGUCUGGGAUGUCUGAGGUUACGUGGGGAUUUCUGGGUUGUCUUCUGGCGUCAUUGAGGUUGUGGCUUUUGAGGGGCUGGAGAGGCUGGGGAAGGAGUCUGCAUGGGUCGUCUUGGGGUGUUUCCAUAGCUAUUAAAUUUAUGCGAUGUUUAAUUAGGUUUUGGAAUCUUGUGGAUCCAUGGUAUUGUAGUUAGGACGCGUUGAAGAGGCUGGGGAGACGUUAGAAAGCCUAGGAAAUGUCUUAUUGUGUUUGUGGAAGUGUAAUGAAGUGUUUUGGCGGCUGGUAAAGCGAGAUUAUGGAGUGUAGGAGCGCGAGAGGCUGAGAUUCCUGUUUUGAGCAUCUUAUUAGGAGCUGUCGAGGAGGCUGAGGGAGCUGUGUUGUAGAGGCCGGGGAGACGUUAGAAAGCCUAGGAAAAGUCUUAUUGUGUUUGUGGAAGUGUUAUGAGGUGUUUUGGCGGCUAUUAAAUUAAUGUUAUGGAGUGGUCCCGCCUUGAGCAAGUAAGUGGCUGUCGAGGAGGCUGAGGAAGCUGUGAUGUAGAGGCCGAGGAGACGUUAGAAAGCCUAGAAAAUGUCUUAUUGUGUUUGUGGAAGUGUAAUGAAGUGUUUUGGCGGCUAUUAAAGCGAGAUUAUGGCGUGUAGGAGCGCGAGAGGCUGAGAUUCCUGUUUUGAGCAUCUUAUUAGGAGCUGUCGAGGAGGCUGAGGGAGCUGUGUUGAAGAGGCCGGGGAGACGUUAGAAAGCCUAGGAAAUGUCUUGUGGUCGUAUUUUAAAACUUUUCGUCGCCCAAGUUCACAUAUUUGACACUGCUUUCGCGUGAGUUGAGGGCAUUUCCAGGGGUAGUUUUAUGACCCUGGUGGUAGUUUGACCCUUCUCCAGUAGCAUGAGCCUAAAGAAACACGCAUUUGAACCCGAUUGAUCCCCUCUUUGAACUUUAGAAAUAAUGGAUGUGAGAAGCGAAAGUGUCUUAUAAUACUUGCCUUAGUGUGUUUGUGGAAGUGUAAUGAGGUGUUUUGGCGGCUAGUAAAGGGAGGUUAUGGAGCAGCGUUGCCAGAUUAUCGUAUUCACCACAUCGUCUUUAUUACUUUUAACCCUCAAACUCUCGUACCUACACAAAUAACGAUAGAAAAUUGAAGUUAGCGUUAAAACUCCUAUUUAUUGAUGUUUGUUUGUUUGUUUUUGCUAUAGUUAUUGGUCAGAAACUACGAAAAUGCAAUGCGAUAAGUACGAUAGUUUGGCAACGCUGUUAUGGAGUGGUCCUGCCUUCAGCAACUAUAAGCGGCUGUCGAGGAGGCUGGGGAAGAGUUGACAGGUCGGUAUUCUCAGACGCUUCCCUCACACAUCAACAAUAAAAACAUAUUUCCAAAGUCUGAAAUGGACAUAAAUCGGGUCCUUAUGAGUAUCUCUCCUCGUUCAUGUUACAGAAGUGUUUUGAACGUAUUGAGAAGUGGGGCGUAUAUCUUAAAUAUCUGGGAGGCUUGACAUGCAGGCUGGAGUGUCUGAAGGGGCGUGGGGAAGCUGGUGAAGGUUCGUAAUGGCUUGGGAAGUGGGGCACAUCUCUUUAUGUGUUUGGGAGGCUCCACACGCGAGGUUAGGGAGCGUGGGGAUGUAGGAGGCUGUCGAGUGCUGUCUGGGGUGUCUUAAGGCCGUAGGAGAGGCUGGAACGGUUUUAUAAGGGGUUGGGAAAUGGGGCGUAUAUCUUGGGUGUCUGGGAGGCUUCGGGUCCUGGCUGAAGUGUCUUAGGGGCCGUUGGGAAGGCAGGGGAAGGGUUUAUAAGUGUUAGGAAGUUUGGGGCGCAUGUCUUAAGUGUCUUGGUAUCUUAAAGGCCGUUGAAGAGGUUGAAAAAGGCUUUGUGAGGUUUGGGGAAGUCUGUGGCGUAAGUCUUUGGCGUCUGGAAGGCUUGGGGGUCCUGGCCAGGGUGUCUUGGGGCCUUGGAGGGGUGAAAAGGGUUUGGGAAGUCUGUCUGGGAGGCUUGGGGUCCUUGCCAGGGUGUCUUGGGGCCUUGGGAGGGUGAAAAGGGUUUGGGAAGUCUGUCUGGGAGGCUUGGGGGUCCUGGCCAGGGUGUCUUGGGGGCCUUGGAAGGGUGAAAAGGGUUUGAAAAGUCUGUCUGGAAGGAUUGGGGGUUCUGGCCAGGGUGUCUUGGGGGCCUUGGAAGGGUGAAAAGGGUUUGGAAAGUCUGUCUGGGAGGCUUGGGGGUUCUGGCCAGGGUGUCUUGGGGGCCUUGGAAGGGUGAAAAGGGUUUGGGAAGUCUGUCUGGGAGGCUUGGGGGUCCUGGCCAGGGUGUCUUGGGGCCUUGGAGGGGUGAAAAGGGUUUGGGAAGUUUGUCUGGGAGGCUUGGGGGUCCUGGCCAGGGUGUCUUGGGGCCUUGGGAGGGUAAAAAGGGUUUGGGAAGUCUGUCUGGGAGGCUUGAGGGUCCUUGCUGGGGCGUCUGGCUGUGUUGUGGCGUCAUCGUGGAGGCGUGGGCUGCCGGCGGGGCGGGCAAGGACGCGCGUCUCUCGGGCUUACUCAUCGGCAGCGACACACACGACAAAAUUUACUCUUGCGUGAAGGUGAUCUGCUCUGCUUACCAUGGCGUCCCCUGCAACCCCUGACUAGUUCCCUGCCUUGUGUUGCCCCCUGCCCUCCCUCCCUUCUCUCCUCCCUCUUCCUCAAUACCCCCUUCUCCCUUGCGUUCUGUUCCUCUUCCAAAACCUUCCUCCUUCCCUUCUCUCCUCCUUCUACCUCAAUACCCCCCUCUCCCUGUUCUCCUAAAUUCCCUUGCGUUCUGUUCCUCUUCCAAAACCUUCCUCCCUCCCUUCUCUCCUCCUACCUCAAUACCCCCUUCUCUCUUACCCUCUCCCUGUUCUCCUAAAUUCCCUUGCGUUCUGUUCCUCCUCCAAAACCUUCCUCCCUCCCUUCUCUCCUCCUCCCUCUUACCUCAAUACUCCCUUCUCCCUUACCCUGUUCUCUUAAAUUUCCUUGCGUUCUAUUCCUCUUCCAAAACCUUCCUCCUUGUUCUCCCUGUCUUCUUGCCUCUGAAUUUCCCCCUGCAACAACUCCUCCCCUUAUGCUAACAUCCUGCCCCUGUACUCCCAUUCCUGUGUCCAUCUCUUCCAGCAUCCUUCUGUUUCCUUCACUCCUUAGCUCUUUCCUCCUCUUCCAGCAUCUUACUCUCUCUUCUCUUCGCUUCUUCCACUGCCUCUCUCUUCUUUGUUACCUCCUCCUCUUGUAUUACCAUUCUUUUUCCUUCUCUUCUUUACCUUUCCCUCCUCUUCCAUCCCCUUACUCUCUGCUCCCUUCUGUCCUGCUUCUCUCCUCCUCUCCUCCGUUUCUUCCUCCUCUUCCAACACUCUUCUUUUCCUUCUCUUCUUUAGUCUUCCCUCUUGUUGCGCCUUACUCCUCCCAUCUUGUCUCUAUCCUCCUCUUCU